rnacentral:rRNA from 1 species
ACUUAAAUUGAAGAGUUUGAUCAUGGCUCAGAUUGAACGCUGGCGGCAGGCCUAACACAUGCAAGUCGAGCGGU